GCGGUUGCGUGGCCGUUCCGCCGUCCCUCCCUCGCCGUCGAGUCCCAUUGUAUUAUGUCCUGGAGGGACACAGUGGAAGCAAUGCUCCAGGUCCAGUCUGCUGUUGGGCAGCCUGCGAUGCAACUCAUCCAUCAAGUGCUCAGAUGCAUCUUGCAAGAGCCUGUCUGAACGUCUGCCUGUGCAGGAGGAUUGGUGUUGUUAUGGGGACCAGGAACGAAAGAAGCAGGAAUUAAUGUCAAAGCAAUUUUAUCUACAGAGAUCCCUACACACUGGCCAAGACAGUGGAUGUGGAGAGAAUGUUUCCUAUUGUGGGAGAGUCGAGGACCAAAGGGCACAGCCUCAAAACAGAGAUGAAAAAUCUCUUUAUCCAGGAAGAUGUGAAUAUGGAAUUCAGUGGUACUUGAUUAAUUAGGGCAUCAAAGAUUACAGGGAGAAGGCAGGUGAACGGGGUUGAGAGAGAUAAUAA